AACAAAUUCAAAUCAAGGGGUUGUGAUUAGCUGAAAACGCUCCGCGGGCGAAACGCUCCAAAUGGGCUAAAAAAAGCUUCAAACCUCUAAAGAAAAAUGUUUACCUUUCUUUUCUAUUUCCUUUGCGACCUCCCUCUCUCUGUGAUUUCCUCUGCGACCUCCCUCUCUCUGUCAGGCUUCCCUCUCUCUACGAGGCUCCCCUCUUGGCUUGUCCUCUUCUCUCCCCUGUUAUGUGAAGAGCUAUUCUUUCUCGUUCGUCCCCUCCCCUCUCUGCGAAGCCCGAUCGCUGUUAUCUCCGUCAUUCUCUCCUCUCUCUGAGAAGCUCUGGUUCUGCCACAGACGCCACACACUCCUCCUCUGUUUAGGGCAUCAAUCGGCAGUUAAACGGAUCCUACCUUUUCCCUCUCCUGUGCUUACUCAACCAAGCUAUUUGGUGGGAAUACGCUAAAACUGUCAUCUGGGGCUAAUUUUCAUGGUGAAAUCAACAUCUUGCUUGUUGGUGAUCCUGAUACUAGUAAAUCUCAACUUUUCCAAUACAUACACAAAUUACAUCCAUGAGGAAUUUACAGUAGUGGGAGGGGGAGCUCAGCUGUGGUUCUGACUGCAUAUGUCUCCAAGGAACCAGAAACUAGAGAAACAGUGCUGGAAAGUGGAGCUUAUGGUUGAGCAAUAAAGGCAUUUGUCGUAUUGAUGAGUUUGAUAAGAUAUCUAAUAGCGCAAGAAGCAUGAUGCAUGAGGUCAACCUCUAGCUUAGCUGACCAAGCGUAUUUUUGCUUUGAAUUCAAACACUUAAAAGAGUUCUCAAGUAAAUAUGAGGAGAGAAAAGGCAACUAAAUUGUGCAGAUAAAUGGGCAUGACUAAUCCAGUGCUGGAAAGUGGAGCUUAUGUUUGAGCAAUAAAGUCAUUUGUUGUAUUGAUGAGAUUGAUGAGAUUGAUAAGAUAUCUAAUAGCGCAAGAAGCUUGUUGCAUGAGGUCAACCUCUAGCUUAGCUGACCAUGGUUCUCUAAUUGUUGUGACUUGCAACAGUCUUAUUAUUUCAUUUUCUCUUCUUAUUUUUUUCAAUAAUGCUCGGUGUUGCUGAUCCCAUAUUUUUGUCAUGUUUAUUUAUUUCAACCUUUUUUUCUUGUUGAAUUCAAACACUUCAAGAGUUCUCAAGUAAAUAUAAGGAGAGAAAAGGCAACUAAAUUGUGCAGAUAAAUAGGCAUGACUGAUAUUAGUCUACAAAUAUCCAGACCCAAUUGCAAGAUGGUCUAGACUUGCCGACUUUGAUAGCUUAUGUUAGCUAUUCUAGAAGGCACAUACAUCCCCAGAUUACUGAUGAAGCUAUUGAUGAUUUGAUAAUGGGAUAUGUUGAGAUGAGAAGGGGUAACUUCUCAGGAAGCAGUAAAUAGGUGAUAACUGUUACUCCUAGGCAAAUAGGGAGUAUGAUUCGUUUUAGUGAAGCCCCGGGUCGGAUGUGUAUCUCUGAGCAGGUAGGCAUAGACAUACCUUUGCUGCAUCAUUCAAAUGGAAGAGUGAAACUUGAAGAAGCUAAAAAAAAUAAAUUACUUGGUGGUUGAGUCAGCUCAAUUGGGUUACUUUUUUUGAAUCUUUAUUUGUAUCAAGUUUUUUCUAUUUCAUGAGGUGUUUAAUCUUCUUGUAUCUUUCCAAUAGUUUGUAAAUGAUUGUAAUUGGUAGUUGUUUAAUUUAUGGUAAAUAAAAUUAUCUGGUUUCUGGUAUUA